GGCACAGAUACUGCAUAUGCUAGGGCGGUUCCUCCGGACGGCGUAUCGUCGGAGGUAGCCGGCGCGGGGGCCGGUGUCAUCGCUUU
rnacentral:sRNA from 2 species